ACGGAAGGCAGCAGUGGGGAAUAUUGGACAAUGGGGGAAACCCUGAUCCAGCGACGCCGCGUGAGUGAAGAAGUAUUUCGGUAUGUAAAGCUCUAUCAGCAAGGAAGAAAAUGACGGUACUUGACUAAGAAGCCCCGGCUAACUACGUGCCAGCAGCCGCGGUAAUACGGAGGAUGCAAGCGUUAUCCGGAUUUAUUGGGUUUAAAGGGUGCGUAGGCGGUAUGGUAAGUCAGCGGUGAAAUGUCCACGCUUAACGUGGAACUUGCCGUUGAUACUGUCGUACUGGAAUUCGGUUGUCGUGGGAGGAAUGUGUAGUGUAGCGGUGAAAUGCAUAGAUAUUACACAGAACACCGAUUGCGAAGGCAUCUCACGAAGCCGCGAUUGACGCUGAGGCACGAAAGUGCGGGGAUCAAACAGGAUUAGAUACCCUGGUA
rnacentral:rRNA from 1 species